rnacentral:rRNA from 1 species
GAACUUAGCAGAGAUGCUUUGGUGCCUUCGGGAACUCUGAGACAGGUGCUGCAUGGCUGUCGUCAGCUCGUGUUGUGAAAUGUUGGGUUAAGUCCCGNAACGAGCGCAACCCUUAUCCUUUGUUGCCAGCGGCUCGGCCGGGAACUCAAAGGAGACCGCCGGUGAUAAACCGGAGGAAGGUGGGGAUGACGUCAAGUCAUCAUGGCCCUUACGGCCAGGGCUACACACGUGCUACAAUGGCGCAUACAAAGAGAAGCGACCUCGCGAGAGCAAGCGGACCUCACAAAGUGCGUCGUAGUCCGGAUUGGAGUCUGCAACUCGACUCCAUGAAGUCGGAAUCGCUAGUAAUCGUAGAUCAGAAUGCUACGGUGAAUACGUUCCCGGGCCUUGUACACACCGCCCGUCACACCAUGGGAGUGGGUUGCAAAAGAAGUAGGUAGCUUAACCUUCGGGAGGGCGCUUACCACUUUGUGAUUCAUGACUGGGGUGAAGUCGUAACAAGGUAGGCGUAGCGAG